UACGUAGGUGGCAAGCGUUGUCCGGAUUUAUUGGGGUUAAAGGGUGCGUAGGCGGCCCUGUAAGUCAGUGGUGAAAUAUCUCAGCUUAACUGAGGGGGUGCCAUUGAUACUGCAGGGCUUGAGUACAGAUGAGGUAGGCGGAAUUGACGGUGUAGCGGUGAAAUGCAUAGAUAUCGUCAAGAACUCCGAUAGCGAAGGCAGCUUACUAAGCUGUAACUGACGCUGAGGCACGAAAGUGUGGGGAUCAAACAGG
rnacentral:rRNA from 1 species